rnacentral:rRNA from 1 species
UGAGGAAUAUUGGUCAAUGGGCGAGAGCCUGAACCAGCCAAGUCGCGUGAAGGAAGACAGUCCUAAGGAUUGUAAACUUCUUUUAUACGGGAAUAACGGGCGAUACGAGUAUUGCAUUGAAUGUACCGUAAGAAUAAGCAUCGGCUAACUCCGUGCCAGCAGCCGCGGUAAUACGGAGGAUGCGAGCGUUAUCCGGAUUUAUUGGGUUUAAAGGGUGCGUAGGUUGUUCGGUAAGUCAGCGGUGAAACCUGAGCGCUCAACGUUCAGCCUGCCGUUGAAACUGCCGGGCUUGAGUUCAGUGGCGGCAGGCGGAAUUCGUAGUGUAGCGGUGAAAUGCAUAGAUAUCACGAGGAACUCCGAUUGCGAAGGCAGCUUGCCAUACUGCGACUGACACUGGAGCACGAAGGCGUGGGUAUCAAACAGG